rnacentral:tRNA from 1 species
GGUAAAAUGGCUGAAUUAGGCAGUAAAUUGUAAAUUUACUUAUGAAGAGUAACUUCUUUUACUA